rnacentral:rRNA from 1 species
ACGCACGCUGGCGGCGUGCUUCACCCAUGCCAGUCGAACGGAAAGGCCCUGCUUGCAGGGUACUCGAGUGGCGAACGGGUGAGUAACACGUGGGUGAUCUGCCCUGCACUUCGGGAUAAGCCUGGGAAACUGGGUCUAAUACCGGAUAGGAGCCAUUUUUAGUGUGAUGGUUGGAAAGUUUUUUCGGUGUAGGAUGAGCUCGCGGCCUAUCAGCUUGUUGGUGGGGUAAUGGCCUACCAAGGCGGCGACGGGUAGCCGGCCUGAGAGGGUGGACGGCCACAUUGGGACUGAGAUACGGCCCAGACUCCUACGGGAGGCAGCAGUGGGGAAUAUUGCACAAUGGGCGCAAGCCUGAUGCAGCGACGCCGCGUGGGGGAUGACGGCCUUCGGGUUGUAAACUCCUUUCGCUAGGGACGAAGCUUUUUGUGACGGUACCUAGAUAAGAAGCACCGGCUAACUACGUG